rnacentral:rRNA from 1 species
GACGAACGCUGGCGGCGUGCUUAACACAUGCAAGUCGAACGGAAAGGCCCUGCUUUUGUGGGGUGCUCGAGUGGCGAACGGGUGAGUAACACGUGAGUAACCUGCCCUUGACUUUGGGAUAACUUCAGGAAACUGGGGCUAAUACCGUAUAGGAUCUCCUGCUGCAUGGUGGGGGUUGGAAAGUUUCGGCGGGUGGGGAUGGACUCGCGGCUUAUCAGCUUGUUGGUGGGGUAGUGGCUUACCAAGGCUUUGACGGGUAGCCGGCCUGAGAGGGUGACCGGCCACAUUGGGACUGAGAUACGGCCCAGACUCCUACGGGAGGCAGCAGUGGGGAAUAUUGCACAAUGGGCGGAAGCCUGAUGCAGAAACGCCGCGUGCGGGAUGACGGCCUUCGGGUUGUAAACCGCUUUCGCCUGUGACGAAGCGUGAGUGACGGUAAUGGGUAAAGAAGCACCGGCUAACUACGUG